rfam:Hyaloperonospora arabidopsidis Emoy2 Contig716.0, whole genome shotgun sequence.
AUACAAAAGAUGCAGCGGUUUGCGAAAAUCUAGGUUAUGACAGAAAGAGUACAGAAUAGAAAUUGAAAGUUUAUAAGUAACAAAAGUAAUGAGUUUAAAGUAUACUUAUGAGGGAACUUGAGUUAAAAUAACUCUACAACAAUUUGAUGAACUGAAACAUCUAAGUAGUCAAAAGAAAAGAAAUCAACCGAGAUUUCAUGAGUAAUGGCGAGUGAAAGUGAAAGAGACCUAUUUAUUAAUUUUUAUAAUAAGAUAAAUAAUCAAAAUAAAAUUUGAACCAAAAGAGAGGGUAAAAGUCCUGAACUUAAAUUAUUAUAAUAAUUAUAGAGUAAAACGAAUUAUGCUGAGUUAGUUUGAAGAACGGGGAACCUUCCUCGAAGUCUAAAUAUGUGUAGGAGACCGAUAGUGAAGAAGUACCGUGAGGGAAAGAUGAAAAGAACCUUUAGGAGAGGAUUGAAAGAGAGAAUGAAAUAGACCGUAAGUAAGAUUUGAAAGCGUAGUAAGGUCCACAAUGCUCUUAAUUUUAAGUACAUUCUAGUUGGAUCUGACCAAAUAGUUUUAUUAAGAUAAGAGAAGGAUAGACGAAAACAAUAGAAGAGUAUUUAUUUGAAAAGCAUAAAAAGUGAAAGCAAAUAAAGAGUCUAUUAGUUACCAUCUGGAUUUACAAUUUCAAUAUUCCUUUUGCAUCAUGAGCCAGCGAGUAAAUAGGAAUAGCAAGCUAAAUGGCGAAGUGAAAUCAAAUAUAAAAAUAAGAUUUUUAGUUAUUUUUAUUUAACCCGAAACCAGAUGAUCUAUUUAUGAACAGGUGUUUACGACCGAACCCUAGUAUGUUGCAAAAUACAGGGAUGAUUUGUGAAUAGGAGUGAAAAGCUAAUCGAAUUUGGAGAUAGCUGGUUUUCUGUGAAAUCUAUGUAAGUAGAGUGUUAAAGUAUAUUUAUUAGAGGUAGAGCCACUAGAUAGAUGAUGGGGACCAGAGAGGUUUUACUGACUCUAACUAAACUCUAAAAUUAUAAUAAAAAUAAUGCAUAAUAAACAGAGUGCGGGUGAGAAGGUCCGUACUCAAAUGGGAAACAGCCCAGAUUAUCAGCUAAGGUCCUUAAUGUUUAGUGAACUAAAAAGGUUGGUUUAGAAGCAUAAAUGAGCAGGAAGUGGGCUUGGAAGCAGCCAUCUUUUAAAGAAAGCGUUAUAGCUCACUGCUAGUAUUUCAAACUUUCCACAAAUGAAAAAGGAAUUAACCAAAAACCAAGGCUAUAAGUAUAAUUGAAUUAUACGGGAUAUAAUUUAAAAUUAUAAGGUAACAGAAUAUAAAGUAGACCGGAAAAAGUUGAUGGUUACAUCAAUGGAAGGAAUCUUUAGAGCUUAUGCUGGUAUGAGUAACAAAAAAAUGAUGUAUAGAAUCAUCAUCACUGGAAACUCGAGGUUUUCAUCAUAAAAAUAAAUUGGGAUGAGUAAGUCGGCCUCUAAGAUAAAUUGGUGACAACCAAAUAUUGAUGAGCAAUUUGUAUUAAGAAUUACAAGACACUAUGAGGCAACAAAGUAAUAAAAUAAUUGUGUGGAGCACAGUUAUGUAUGAUAAAAAAAAUAGAAAAAUUAAAAUUUAUGUGUUAUGUUAUAAUACUUAUUAUAACAUAACCUAUAGAUUAUUGGAAGAGGUUUUUUGACAUAGUUACUUUCAAGAAAAAACUUAUAGGAGUUACCGUACUUAGACCGACACAGGUGAGUGAGUAUAAAGGUACUAAAGUGUAUGAGGGAAUAAUAUUUAAGGAACUCGGCAAAUUGACUCUGUAACCUCUGGGAUAAGGAGGACCAUAUUUUUAGCUGUAUUAUUUAGCAUUUUAUUAUAAAGUUAUUUAUAAUAAUUAUUGAUAAAAAUACAAUUUAAGUACGGGUUAUGAAUAAUUGGGAGCGGCGACUGUUUAACAAAAACACAGGACUUUGCAAAAUCGUGAGAUGAUGUAUAAGGUCUGAGGCCUGCCCGGUGCGAUAAAAUGAAAUGAAAAGGUGAAAGCUUUGGAUAUAAGUUCUCGCAAACGGCGGCAUUAACCC